rnacentral:pre_miRNA from 2 species
GCUAAGAUGUAGCCUUUAUCUGCAUUUGCACCUGCACCUUCUUGUUUUUAUUUGGUUCACUUCAGCACCCUUCUGCUUUAGAAACCAAAGCUUGGGCAGAUGUGUUUGUGGUGGAGGAAGAUAAGGGCCAAGCAAAGAGGUGCAGGGGCAGCUGCAGGUGAAUGCCAUUUUGGC